AUCUGUUACGAAACGUGUAGUGUAAACGAACGAAAACUCUUCAGAGAUAAGCGCAACGCAAAAACUGGUCACCGUAAUCACGUAUUACCGCGAUUGUUCCGAACAGUAAUUGGUUUUAAAGCAGACCUACCAGAACGGUUUUAGAAACGAGCUAUCGCUUGAACAGCGGAAUAGAAAGGCAUGACUUUCAUUCGACCUCUAUAAAUCGUGAGACUGACUGGUUUACCACAACGGAUAUCGGAUCGGUUCUACGGGUAGCUGACUCGUACCACUACAACUUGGAUGAUCUCGAAUAGACAUCUACAUAUGUAUCCAUGUACCAAAUAGAGUUAAGAGAUGCAUUCCACAUAUGGUCGCAAUUAGUGCGAUUGGAGGCGUUUCGAAUGGGUCUCCAGACUAGGUUAGGGGGGGCGCUACGUGUAAACGAUAAGGUUUCGUGCAAUAAUUUAUAGGUACCCGGAAAGCUCGCAAGACACGAACAUAUUUGCAAUCUUCGUAUUGCAUCUAGAGAGAAUAGUCUUCACGAUGUCGAACACGCUAUUUUUAAAUUGCUAAAAGAGCUGGUUAGUCAUCAGAAGCCAAGGCCAACCCACGGUCAUGAUGAAUUAUUCAAGGCACAGCCUCCGCAGUUCUCCGAGAUAACUGGGAUUGUUUCGUAUUUAUACACAUGUAUUCGUCGAAACUGCAGAAGAAUAGCAUCAUUACUGUUAACUCAUGAAAGCGGGCCAUGAAACAACUCCAUGAUCCGAAGCAACUGUGAUCAAUUAUUCAGUUUAGAACGAAUAAGGCAAUACCGAUAAAUUUGGGGGGCAAACAGGCGUAUGAAUGUUAAGAUUGUUAAACUAGUAAUCUGGCUGUAAAGAAGAUAAAAAACAUUUUUUUUUCAUUUAAUUUACUAGUUUCAAGUACUUAACAGAAAUGUUUGCAAUAUUCAAACAAAUCCAUCUAUUCAAUCUGAACUCAAGGUUACAAAUUAAAAUGCAAUAUUCCUUUCGGCAAUUCAGCUAUCAGAUUCCGGCUCCUGGGGAGAUUUAUUUUUACUGCUGGACCAUUAAAAUUCAACGCUCCCAGUAAAACAAUCUACAUUUGCAUAACGCGAUGCGACUACGUGCUGCGUGAUGGUUGCUGAUACCAAACCAAAACACAAUAUGGAAACUGGCCAGCGGCGGUGCAGUUCCUUGCUAGCAGCUCAUGAAGGUUAAAUGAAAGUCGACCGAAUUGCAGCGAUUUUAUGGUUUAAACGACAGUGUAACUUCUAUUAUGUUUAAGGAGUACAAUUUAUUGCUCUUUCAAUGACUUCAUUGGAUUUAUGUGUGUAUCAGAACAGCUUUUAAAAAUCUGAAAUUCGAAUACUCAUUUGCAGGACGGUAAAUGAUUAUUUCCAUUUACUUUUGUUUAAAUCCUUGUAGAAUAUGAAUAAUUUAUUUAAUAAAAGUAUACAAAGUGCACCGUGUGAGUUUGAUAAUGUUGGCGUAUUCGGGUAUUCGAUUAUUCAAACAUUCGAGUUAUGACUAGACAUAAUUAUUCGCUUUUUGAAUAUUCCAAUACUCGAAUUAUUCGAGUUUGAUUCCGAGCCCUAUUGCGGAUCAUCCUUAUUCAAGAGUGCGCCACUAACAAGUCUCCCCACCAAAUAUGACGUAACGAAAUCCAAAAUGGUUGCUGGAAUGGCUCCACCAGUUACCGCCCCCCCACGUGGACUCCUUGAGCAACUGUUCAAGUGCGACCAGUAGUCAUCUAGUCAUCACAAGAUGUUCAUCGUAUAACAUUCCUAGUUGGCAUGUUCUGGACAGUCGUUAUGCGCUCGAACGUAGCACGUAGAGUUUGGUAUGAGCGUAAUUAUAUUGUCAAAAAGUGUGUAGUAAUGUGGAGCCUAGUGUAAUUGACAGCAGUUUGUAGUUGCAAAUAACAAAAAGAUAUGCAGCUAUCCGUUCCGUAUGUUCUGUAAUAACACAUAAAUACCUGAAGUGAGUCAUUUAUCGGAUAUUUUAUUCCUGAUGCAUUCACUAAAUUUUAUCAGGCCGAAAGCUUACUUAGAGUUAUCAACCUAUGUUACCCUUCACUCGGACAGCUACAACAGAUGGCCCCAUCUAGCGGCGCCACGCGUCCAGGAAGCAUAUCAACUUUGCCCUAUUUAGUUACCAUUCUAAAGGGGGAUAUGUUCCUGAAAUAUCAUGGGGGAUGUUCUGUGGAUAAGUUGUGGUUAUCUUUACACUCAGGCAGAAGAGUGACACUUAUUCUUGACAAUUUCCUCCACACAAAUUGCAGGCAACUACCCGUUCCUUUCUGCAGACUGAAGUACGAUCAAUAAUUGAAUCGCCAUUCUGUCAGUGAAAUCCCCUAAUCUUAAACAUGAUAAAUAUGUAUGCAUACUUGUUUCAGCUGAUUAUGGUCUUUACUGAUUAGGUAAAAGUGUUUUGUGUAAAAAAAUGUGCUUAUCUGUACAUGCAAAUGUAUGUAUGCAUCAUUGUACCAGAUUUUUCUGAGUGUUAAUUGCAUUUCAUUAGAUCAUUAGAUGGUAACUGUAAUAUA